GAGCGCCUCCACUCACACAUUUCCUUUUGUACACCACCGCAUCUUUUGUGUAAUUAAAUGCUGUUAACUUUUAUAAGCUUCCCUUGACUCUUUUCAGUCUCUCCUGCCUUCAGGGUUCUAGAAUACACUAACAUGGCGUCUCUGGGUGGGCUCUGAAGCGGGAUAGAGCUGGAAAAGAGGGGAAGGCUGCAAGCUAGCUAGCUAGCAUCACACUAGGCUGCAGAAAAUGAGUUUUUGGCUGGGCCUAAACGAAAGAUGUAAAUGAGCUGUGCAGUUCCUCUGCUAUCAUUGGCCGUCCCGACCUCUCAACAUCCGCGGGGUUUGGACAGACGUCACCCAAUCCCUGCUCGCUUCUGCCACGUCAUCCGGGGGAGGAGUAUAAAGGCUGGGCACGGACACCAUUCGGGAGGCUCUGUAUUGUGUGACAGAUGCCUUAACCCUCUCAUUGUGACAAAGCCUUCGUUCUGUGAUUCUGUUAGCAGUGUGUUUUCUGUGCCUCGUUAGACUGCUUAGCAGUGUGUUUUGUGUGCUUCGCUCGACUGCUUAGCAGUGUGUUGUAGCAUUUUGUGAGUAUUGCUUAGUACUUUGCCCUAACCCAGGUGAUUAGCGCCUGUAGAUCAGCAUUCUUGUGUGUAUUGCUUAGACCCAGGUGAUUAGCUUCUGUAGAUCAGCAUUCUUGUGUGUAUUGCUUAGACCCAGGUGAUUAGCUUCUGUAGAUCAGCAUUCUUGUGUGUAUUGCUUAGACCCAGGUGGUUAGCACCUGUAGAUCAGCAUUCUUGUGUGGAUUGCGUAGAUCCAGGUGAUUAGCACCUGUAGACCCGCACCAGCUGUGUUCUUCCACAGUCCGUUUUGUUUAUUGUUUUGUUUCCACUUUAGAAGUGAGAUUUUCUUUCCUUUUGUAUAGCGGGGCAACUCUCUUUUGGAGACCCCUUUUGUUGGAUAGUGACAGCUUGACCCGUUGUUGGGCCAAGCUGUUUGUGUAGCCUACAUCAUUUUACUUACUUGCCGUAACAAUUAAACCACCGGUAACGUAUACCAAUUCCAAUCUGGUCGUGUCGUGUCCUUUUGGUCCUCCUAGCCCAAUUGGGAACGUAACAAUUACAUAGUAUUAAGACCUUCUGGGGAGGCACUAGAUUUUAUCUGGGAUAGGGUCCACAUUGUGUUAAAUACCUCUGGGUAGGUACCAGACCUGAUCUGUUUUACACUGGACUGGGUCCAUUCAUGUUAGUCUAUAUGUUUGAUGUGUUAAACCUGCGUAGUUUGGUUUAAUAACGUAUAUUGUGUGGAGUUUUUAAGCCAAAAAGUAUA